AUAGCGAGGCUAUGCCACUACAAAGGGAGAGAACAUUUGUGCUGCUUCUUCUUCUUCUGCUGCUCAGAAGAAAGGGAAGGAAACUGAAAAGGAAUCUAUCCCUUCGUGUAAGCCUCAUUCCUUCGUUCUUGGUUUGGUUGUUUUUUUUUUUUCUCGAUUUCUCAAAGAAACCCUAAUUCUAGGGUUUCAGAAAUAUUAUUUCAGUUCUAGGGUUUUAUUUCAUUUUAUUUCAUUUUUCUCGCUUUCUCAAAGAAACCCUAAUUCUAGGGUUUCAGAAAUAUCAUUUGGGUUCUAGGGUUUUAUUUCAUUUUCUUAAAUUUGCUUUUUUUGUCUGAUAUAUUUAGAGAAUAUUCCAUUGCACAGUUAUGCAUGUCUCUCUAAUGCUUGUUGUAUGGUUCCCUAGGUUAUUUUGUUAUUUCUCGAAUUUUCUUGGACUCAAAACUAUCAUACCCAUUUUCGGUUUUUUGUGAGUUUAAUUUUAUGUAAUAUUCUUAACGAAUCCUCCCCUGUAGGGUUACUUAAAGGCAUGUACAGAGACGCCAUUACAUGGUUCCCUUGGUUAUUUUCAUCUUCAUUUAAACAUUUGCUUUUACCUGGCAUCUCUAAAGGGCCAGCCCCCCAUUGUACCUUAAAGUAUAUUUCAAAACAUUUAUUUGAUGGCUUCCUUGGGUCUUUUCAUCUUUAUUAAUUUUUUCUCAUAUGAGAUUUUUGAGGUAGCCCUUGUUACAGGCUUAUUUGAUCUACCCUUAUGUUAUGAUCAAUGUUCGACUAAUCUGGUUGAGUUCCGAGUACUUGGGCUCGCCAGGGUGGCAAGCCCGAGUAUCCCUGAGUUGGGUAUCCCACUUGGGGAUGUUAAGAAAAAUUCAAAAAAAAAA
rnacentral:lncRNA from 1 species